rnacentral:rRNA from 1 species
UACGGAGGGUGCGAGCGUUGUCCGGAAUCACUGGGCGUAAAGGGUGUGUAGGCGGCGAUGUUAGUCUUCUGUCAAAUUCUUCGGCUUAACCGGGGGCUUGCAGGGGAAACGGCAUGGCUCGAGAGUGCGAGAGGUGAAUGGAACUCAUGGAGUAGGGGUAAUAUCCGUUGAUAUCAUGGGGAACACCGAAAGCGAAGGCAAUUCACUGGCGCAUUUCUGACGCUGAGACACGAAAGCGUGGGUAGCGAAUGGG